rnacentral:rRNA from 1 species
CCUACGGGAGGCAGCAGUAAGGAAUAUUGGUCAAUGGAGGCAACUCUGAACCAGCCAUGCCGCGUGCAGGAAGACGGCCCUAUGGGUUGUAAACUGCUUUUGAACUAGAGAAAACCUUGGUACGUGUACCGAGUUGAUAGUAUAGUUAGAAUAAGCAUCGGCUAACUUCGUGCCAGCAGCCGCGGUAAGACGAAGGAUGCAAGCGUUAUCCGGAUUCAUUGGGUUUAAAGGGUGCGUAGGCGGACUGAUAAGUCAGUGGUGAAAUCUCUCAGCUUAACUGAGAAACUGCCAUUGAUACUGUUAGUCUAGAGUACAGAUGAUGUGGGCGGAAUAUGACAUGUAGUGGUGAAAUACUUAGAUAUGUCAUAGAACACCGAUUGCGAAGGCAGCUCACAAAACUGUAACUGACGCUGAGGCACGAAAGUGCGGGGAUCAAACGAGUAUAGACUACCGUGGUACGUCCGACACCGUAACGAUGAUUACUCGUUGUUGGCGAUAUGACAGUACAGACGACGACGACGAACGACGAAGUAAGUAACGUACCGACCGUACGGGGUACGGACCGGACCCGGACCGGAACGGUAACGGUAAACCGUAAACGAAAGGUAAAGUUAAGGUACGGACGGUUAGGAGGACGACGGACCGGACGGGACGACGACGGAGGGGAGGGUAGGAG